ACAUGAUAAUCAUUGCACACAAGAUUCAUGAACAAGGCUUAAAAACUUGUAGAAAGUCUACAUUCAAGUGAUGUGCAAUUGAUGUAAAUUACUAUUCAAUAUUUUAAUUGAAAAAAGAAACUAUAUGAUAACAAAUAUUGAAAAGCAAGGGGCCAAUGAAAGGUAAAUGUUGCGCACAAUAAAAGUUUUAAUCCUUAAUGCAAAGCAAACCAAAAAUACUUAAACAUUCUUUGAGUCAUUGCACAAGAUAAAAAUUACAUUCUAAGAACCCCA
rnacentral:lncRNA from 1 species